AUUGAACGCUGGCGGCAGGCCUAACACAUGCAAGUCGAGCGGAGCGGCGGACGGGUGAGUAAUGCCUAGGAAUCUGCCUGGUAGUGGGGGAUAACGUCAGGAAACGGGCGCUAAUACCGCAUACUAUCAGAUGAGCCUAGGUCGGAUUAGCUAGUUGGGGGGGUAAAGGCCUACCAAGGCGACGAUCUGUAACUGGUCUGAGAGGAUGAUCAGUCACCAUUGAACUGAGACACGGUCCAGACGCCUACGGUAGGCAGCAGGUGGGAAUAUUUGACAAUGGGCGAAAGCCUUAUCCAGCCAUGCCGCGUGUGUGAAGAAGGUCUUCGGAUUGUAAAGCACUUUAAGUUGGGAGGCGUUACCAACAGAAUAAGCACCGGCUAACUUCGUGCCAGCAGCCGCGGUAAUAC
rnacentral:rRNA from 1 species